rnacentral:rRNA from 1 species
UACGGAGGGGGCGAGCGUUAUUCGGAAUCAUUGGGCGUAAAGGGCGCGUAGGCGGCUUUGUAAGUCUUGGGUGAAAGCCCUCGGCUCAACCGAGGAAUUGCCUUGGAUACUGCGAAGCUCGAGGCUGGAAGAGGACAGUGGAAUUCCCGGUGUAGCGGUGAAAUGCGCAGAUAUCAGGAGGAACACCGGUGGCGAAGGCAGCCUUCUGGGCCAACACUGACGCUCGAUGCACGAAAGCGUGGGGAGCAAACAGG